rnacentral:lncRNA from 1 species
GAGAUCUUAAGAAUUAAACAUGGCUUCUUCUUCUAAGUUAGUACUUGUAAUGUGUUUUAUGGUUAGUGCUUUUGGCAUUGCAAUUGGAAACACGUUAGAUCAAGAAUUUGAGAUAACAUGGGGUGAUGGCAGAGCAAAGAUACUCAACAAUGGCGACCUCCUUACUCUCUCACUUGACAAAAUCUCUGGCUCUGGUUUUCAAUCCAAGAAUGAAUAUCUCUUUGGUAAAAUUGACAUGCAGCUCAAACUAGUCUCUGGAAAUUCUGCUGGCACUGUCACUGCUUAUUAUGUAAUUCCCUUAAUUUCUUUUCUUAUAUGAUUUUUGAGCUACGUGUUUAUUGAAUUGAAAUGAAAUUGAACCUUUUUAUUUUUUGAAAUUUAUUGCAGUUGUCAUCACAAGGACCAACACAUGAUGAGAUAGAUUUUGAAUUCUUGGGAAAUUUAAGUGGUGAUCCUUAUACUCUCCACACUAACGUAUUUAGCCAAGGCAAAGGAAACAGAGAGCAGCAAUUCCAUCUCUGGUUUGACCCUACUGCUGAUUUCCACACUUAUUCCAUCACUUGGAAUCCACAACGCAUCAUGUAAACAUUCAAUCUUUCUUCAAAUCUAACACAUUCUUUUAAGGAUAAAUCUUGAUUUGGGGUUCUCUUAUUUUUUGAUUGAACAGAUUCUAUGUGGACGGAACGCCCAUUAGAGAAUACAAGAAUAGUGAAUCAAUGGGAGUUUCAUAUCCGAAGAACCAACCAAUGAGGAUUUACUCAAGUCUUUGGAAUGCAGAUGAUUGGGCUACAAGAGGAGGACUUGUCAAGACUGAUUGGAGCCAAGCACCCUUUAGUGCUUCUUACAGAAACUUCAGUGCUAAUGCUUGUAUUCCCAGUUCUUCAUCUUCUUGCAAUUCCAAUACUACAACUUCAACAAGCAAUUCAUGGUUGAAUGAAGAGUUAGAUAGCACAAGCCAAGAGAGGCUUAAAUGGGUGCAGAAGAAUUACAUGGUCUAUAAUUACUGCACUGAUUCUAAGCGAUUUCCACAAGGAUUUCCAGUAGAUUGUGUUCAGAAUAACUGAGCAUUUAUAGUGAAAAAAUAGUGUAUUCUCUUAAAUAUUUUUUAUCUCUAGAACUAUUGUAAUGAUUCUUUUAUUGUUUUGUACCCAUCAGUAGAAGAUGCAAUAAUUAUUGAGGAUUAGAAACAUCUUAGUUUUGUACUAAGUUUAUAUAAACAAUGAAAUAGAUAUUUUCUUUUAUACUUUGUGUUUUGGAUAUGUUUUUUUUUCUUUUUAAUCAAAUUUGACCCAAUGGGCCAAUUUUAUUGAUAAAUAUGUCGGAGGAAUUUUCACAUAUAGCCACUAAAAAUAACCUAAUUACUCUCCAUAACUAUAGUUUGAUAAUUGCAAUUUGUAGCUACAUGUUAUAUGAGGAGAGAUGCGAGCGAGACUGGGAGAGAGAGGAGAGAGGCGAGCGAGAGAAGGCAAAGAGUGGGAGAGAGGUAAAUUGUACAUAUAUAUAUAUCAGUUAGAUAAUUGUAUAUUAUACAUAUGUAUUUGUAUAUCCUGGCGAAUUAUACAUAUACAAACGUGGAGAAUUAUACAAACUCGAAGUCAGCUCACGUAAUUAAUGUAUAAUGUUAGUCACGAGUGAUAAUUAUAGCAAAUUAUAGCUAUGAUGAGUAAUUAAAUAAUAUAAAUUUGCUUAACCGCAUAAUUUUUCCUAUAUGGAAACAAUAAAGCUGAAAAGGAGGUCCAAAAUGAACAGCCUAAAGCCUAAAAAAUACUCUCUCUGUCCCUAUUUAUUUGUCCAUUUUUCACUUUAUAGUUGUCCCUAAUUACUUAUCCAUUUUGACAAAUCAAGAAAAAAUAUAUUUUUUUAACUUUUUGAAAAUAUUAAUUUUUUAAUUCAUCCACUUCAUAAUUAAUAGGGGUAAAAUGGUAAACUCACUAUGUCAAUAAUUAUUUUUUAAAUAAAUGUGUUAAUUCAAAAGCAGACAAAUAAUUAGGGAUAGAGGGAGUAAGAUGGAAAACAAAAAAAUCUAGAUUUAUCGUCUACAUCUUCUUUGCAUUUAGAAAAGUAACUCUUCACCUUCUAUAUAUCACUCAUGGCAGCAUCAAGUUCUUUUAACUUAGUCCUAUCUCUGAUGUAUCUUAAUUCAUCAAUACGUCGAGUAUCUCCCUUAUAACGUUUGUAAAAAGUCGAUUCAUCUAUCUACCUUCCCACAUCUAAUCGUCUUUAUUUUUUACUUUCAAAUCUUAAGAAUGGAUACAGGGCCGGCUCUGUGGUUUGGAAAAUAAGGCCUUUGCCUUAGGCCCCAAAUUUCGGGGCCCCAAAUUUUUAUCAAGAAUAAAUUAUGUCCUAAAAUUUUUAUAGAAAAAAUUGAUUAUUUAUGAUAAAAGGUGUAAUUUUUUUUAAAAUAAAUUAUUUUAUCCACUUUAACAUUUUUUGUAUUGUGUUAAAAAUAAGAAUUAAUAGUGAAAAGUGUUGAACAAAGUGAAUUACAAAUUCUUUUUUAUUUCUUUUUAAAUUUUAGUUUCAAGCAUUACUACAAGCAUAUUAAAAUGAGGUAUACCAAGUCAUCAACUUUUUGAGUCAAAUUCUAUAGUUCUAACUCUUAUCUUUAUUUAAUAUUUAUCAACUUAUCACUUAUAGCAUUAUGUUAACAAUACAUAUAAUAAUUGCCUCACUUAAAUGAUGUUUUUCAAUGUUGAGUUGAUAAAAUCUUAUCUAAAACUAGUAACUGAAAAAAUAAUAUAUACUAUUAAAUACUAAUGAUUUUCAUCUAAAUAGUAUAAGAAAAAUAAUUUUUGAAUAAAUACGUAUAUAAAGUUUAGUUAUAUUUUAGGCCGCGAAUUGAAAUUUCGCUUUAGAUCUCCAAUUACGUUGAGCCGCCCCUGAAUGGAUAACAAGUUUCGGUGGUCCUCCAUACUCGUACUACCUCAUGUAAAUUGAUCUUUCCUUUGUUUUUCCGCAUAUGACCUCCAAUUCACCUUUGAUUCGAUUGAAGUUUUUAUGUGUUCUUGAUAGAUUCAGCUCCAUGCGCCGUUGUGUUAAUUGUGCUAUUUUUUGUCCUUUCACAAAAUCAUGAAUAAAAUAACAUUGUUUAUUGCUUCUCUUGAAAGCUAUCAUAAUAUAAAUAUUGUUGUUUGUGGUUGAUUGGAGAAUUACUAUUCAACUUUAUAUAAUUGGAGAUUAGAGGUGAAAUAAAGAGUGUUUGAAGAAGACAUUCUCUAUUUUACACUCCAAAUAUAGAGACUGAAGAGUGAAAUAAAGAGGGUUGGAAAUAGAUUACAGUAGAAUGAAAACGAAUUUGCAUCGUUUCAAAUUAUAGAGAAUGAAUAGUAAAAUAGAGAGGGUUGGAGAUGGAAGUACAGUAGAAUGAAAGUGAAUUUGCAUCAUUUCAAAUUCCUAUCUUAAUUGAUGAGAAGGCGGGAGAAAAGGCUAAAUAUUUAGGACCCGUUUGACCAUAAAUAUAUUUGGGAAAAACUUGAAAAUGGUGUUUGGUUAUACAACUUGCCACUACUUGAUAAAUAUAGUUUUCAAAUAUCCCAAGUUUUCAAAUACUAAAAAAAAUUAGUAUUUGGCUAAGUUCUAAUAUUUGAGAAUUUUUAAAAAUUUAAAAAAUACCCCAAACUUUAUAUUUUAUAAAAAAACACCCAUCAUUUAUUAAUUCCAACUACUUCCUCUGUCCCAAUUUAUGUGACUUACUUUCCUUUUUAGUCGGUCCAAAAAAUAAUGACACAUUUUUAUAUUGAGUAACAAUUUAACUAUAAAUUAUCUAUUUUAUACUUAAUGAAAACCACAAGUUUUAAAAGUCUUUCUUUCUUUCUUAAACUCUGUGCCGUGUCAAACUACCUCACAUAAAAUGGGACGGAAGGAGUAAUAUUUAUCUAUCAAAUUACUCCAUUAAUAACUUAUAACCAGAUUGAGAAAAAAAGAACAAUUUAUUUUUAAUGAGUUAUAAGUAAUUCUGAAUCAGUAACAAGUUUGAGUGUGCAAUUAAGGUAUUGCUCUUUCCCAUAUUGCUAUUUUGUUGUGGUUAAUUCUUAUCAAUUAUGUUCUAGGGUUAUUUUUUUUAAUGAACACGUUCAUUAUAAAAUGAUAAUACAAAAUUAAAGGUUUUUUUUUUUUGAAUUAUGGAUAUAGAUCAUAUUUUUUGAAAUAGUCAAAUAUUUCUUUCAAAUUUAUGGGCAAGCGCAUGGUGAAACUUCACCUAAAAAUGAUUUGCCAAGCAUAUUUGGGAAUUUGGAGUCAAACGCUAGCUCAUACUUAAUUAUAUAAUUAUAUUUUUGCAAUAAAAAUAUAUAUUUAUAAUUACACUAUAAUUACAUUAUGGCAAAUAAGCAAAUCAUUAUAAUUACUAUACUAUAUAAUUACUAGGUUAUACUCCCUAUAGUUCAUAUUAACUAAAUUUUUGAGAGAAUGCACCCCAUUAAGAAAAAUAAUUUAGGACAUAAAUUGAACUAUCACUUUACAUUUUUGACCUUUUAGUUAUUCUCAAAUUAUUUUAAAAAAUAGAAAUAAUUUAAAGCAAAAUUAUAAAUAUGAACAACUAACUCUCUUAAACUUAUCACCUAUGUAAAUGAAAUGCAAAUAUAAAAGAAAUUUCCUACAACUCUCUUAUAUAUUGAACAAUUAACUUAUUUUAAACAUUAAAUAAAGACUAAAAAAUCAAUUAUUAUGAUUUGAGGAAGUAUAAUUAUACAAAUUUCAAUCAUUACGUGACCUUCUGAAAAAAAAAAAAACCCUGGGCUAAGACACAAGUGCCAUUCAUUCAUUGUUUUUUUUUUGUUUUUUUUUGUUUUUUUUUUAUUCUUUUUCUUUAUCUUUUCUUUUGAUUCGAUUUCGAAUUUAAUUCCAAAUAUUUAAAAUAUAUUAAUUUCAAACAUAUAUCAAAAUAAGUAAAAAAACUAAAUAAAAUAUUAAAAAAAUUAAAACUUUAAAAUUAAAGGGCACUUUUUUGAAUAUAUAUAUAUAUAUACACGUAAAUUUUUAAAAAUAAUUAAAAGUGAAAAGAGAAAAAAAGUUUAAUGUGAGGAGAGAAAUAGAUAUUUUACAAAUAAAGAAAUGAAAUAAUUAAAUAUUUAUAAUUUUUAAUGUCAAUAAUUAUGUGUAUUAACUCAUUAUAAAAUGACCAAUUAAAAAAAAGACAUGUGUUUCUCUAUGCCAUGUCAGCAUCUAGGGUGUAUUUAUUUUAUUUUAAAAUAAUUUAUUAAGAUAAUAGAACCACAGUUAAGUUUAGAUGUGACGUUGAAAUUUCGAGUAUAGUUCAAUGUAGGGGUGAAAAAACGGAACAACAAUCGAGAAAAGAAACCCAACUAGUGGUUUGGUAUUGAAAAUUCUUUUUUGAACAUAUUUGGGUUGGGUUAGUUUUAACUUUAAAAAGUCAGCCCGAGUCCAAAUCAACUCAACAUUAUAUAUAUAAUUUUUAAAAUUUAUUUUAUACAUAAAAGUAGAUUUUUUCUUAUACUUGUUUAUAGUUUUUAUCUUUUAACAUAUUAUUUCAGUUUGAUUUAAAAUUUUGAACAGUCUAAUAAAUAUUGUAAUUCAUUAUUUUCUUAAUAAAUCCACCAAUUUAUACUAUUUCUAAUAUUCUCGACACCAUAUAGUGCAGGGAAACUUUUAUUUUGUUCUUGUUGUUUGAGGAUGGAGAAUGAUGGUUGACAAAAUAUUGAAUGAAGGAAAUGCAAAAUGCACUACGGAAAGUGUACAUGAUAAACAAAUGAAAAGGCCAAUCUGAAAAAUGAAAAUGGUGCAAAAUUUACACGAAUGUAGGAGUAGUGUGGGAUUAGAUACACAUCUUGAUUUGAAAUUUGUUAAAGACCAGCUCCAGCUGAUUGGUCCACAGAUAAUAUAGCCACGGGAUAUAACCUCUUCCUAGUCAAAUACCUUAAGGCGGUUCUACACCCAACUAAUACAAUGUAGGUACACUUGAAUAAAAAACAAUACAUUAAAGUUGAACUAGUUCCAAUGAAAAUGAUAAUGUGAGACUAACCAGGGUUGUAAUGGAUGUGAAAGUGGGCAAAACUCUCACAUUGGUCGAAAAAUUGACUGAUGGUAUCUUUAUAUGGAUUUGAGUAAUUUUCCCUUCAUAAGCUAACUUUUGAGGUUGAGUUAGACUCAGAUGACAUAUUUUUAAAUGAUAUCAGAUUCAGGUUCAUCCCCGUUUAGGCUUUCGUUAUAUGGACUUGAGCAAUCCUCCCUCAUAAAUUUUGAAUUCAAAUCUUUUUGAGUAUGAAGUCACCUUUGUUAGAAAAUAUUUUACCCCAAUGUAAAACUUUCCAAUGCAAACUCAAAUUUAACCGAGUUUCAAUGCGACUAGACACUACCAUUUAUGGGUUGUCACAUAGCUUUGAUGGCAUCAUUUUUUUCCCCUGUUUCCAGCUCAAUAUACACUCAAUCUUUUUUUCUUACUUUCUGUUUUACUUUGAACCUUCCUCUUUAUUUCCUCAAGCCUUAGACCCCACACGCUCUAGCUACUUAUUUGUUGGUGAGGUGGGGGUGGUAUAAACCCUUAUAAAACCCAAUCUAGCUUUCCAACUCAAAUUCAUCCAACAAACAUUGAAAUCUCUUAAGAAUUAAACAUGGCUUCUUCUUCUAAGUUAGUACUUGUAAUUUGUUUUAUGAUCAGUGCUUUUUGCAUUGCAAUUGGGGCCAAAUUCGAUCAAGAAUUUGAGAUAACAUGGGGUGAUGGCAGAGCAAAGAUACUCAACAAUGGGGACCUCCUAACUCUCUCACUUGACAAAAUCUCUGGCUCUGGUUUUCAAUCGAAGAAUGAAUAUCUCUUUGGUAAAAUUGACAUGCAGCUCAAACUUGUCUCUGGAAACUCUGCUGGCACUGUCACUGCUUACUAUGUAAUUCCCUUAAUUUCUUUUCUUAUAUAAUUUUUGAGCUAUACAUGUUUAUUGAGUUGAAAUGAAAUUGAACUUCUUUUUUGAAAAUUUAUUGCAGUUGUCAUCACAAGGACCAACACAUGAUGAGAUAGAUUUUGAAUUCUUGGGAAAUCUAAGUGGUGAUCCUUAUACUCUCCAUACUAAUGUAUUUAGCCAAGGCAAAGGAAACAGAGAACAACAAUUUCAUCUAUGGUUUGACCCUACUGCUGAUUUCCACACUUAUUCCAUCACUUGGAAUCCACAACGCAUCAUGUAAACAUUCAAUCUUUCUUCAAAUCUAACACAUUCUUUUAAGGAUAAAUCUUGAUUUGGGGUUCUCUUAUUUUUUGAUUGAACAGAUUCUAUGUGGACGGAACGCCGAUUAGAGAAUACAAGAACAGUGAAUCGAUGGGAGUUUCAUAUCCGAAGAACCAAGCAAUGAGGAUAUACUCGAGUCUUUGGAAUGCAGAUGAUUGGGCUACAAGAGGAGGACUUGUCAAGACUGAUUGGAGCCAAGCACCCUUUAGUGCUUCUUACAGAAACUUCAGUGCUAAUGCAUGUAUUCCCAGUUCUUCAUCUUCUUGCAGUUCCAAUACUACAACUUCAACAAGCAAUUCAUGGUUGAAUGAAGAGUUAGAUAACACAAGUCAAGAGAGGCUCAAAUGGGUGCAGAAGAAUUACAUGGUUUAUAAUUACUGCACUGAUUCUAAACGAUUUUCACAAGGAUUUCCAGCAGAUUGUGUUCAGAACAGCUAAGCAUUUACAGUGAAAAAUAGUGUAUUCUUUUAUUUAUUGUACUGAUUCUUUUAUUGUUCUGCAUCAACCAGAAGAUGCAUUAAUUAUUGAGGAUUAGAAACAUCUUAUUAUUGUAUUGACAAUGAAAUAGAUAUAUUCUUUUAUAGCUUAGUGUUUUGGAUAUGAAAAAUUAUGCUACUACAGCUCUUUUGCAAAGUACAAAAGAGGUGAAUUGGCAUCAUUUUUAAAAUUCCUAUCUAAAUUGAUGAGAAGGCGGGAGAAAAGUCAAAUUAUUUAACUUAAUUAUGUAAUAAUAUUUGUUUAAUCAAAUAAUCCAUUUCUAAUUACCCUAUAAUUGAUUAUGACAAAUAAAAAAAUCGUUAUAAUUACUAAAUUAUAUACUCCCUCCGUCCCAUUUUAUGUGAGGUUGUUUGACUCGACACAAAGUUUAAGAAAGAAAGGAAGACUUUUAAAACUUGUGAUUUAAAAUGAAUGAUAUAAAUUUGUGUGACGGUAAAUCAUUUCAUUAAGGGCAAAAUAGAAAUUUUAUAGUUAAAUUGAUAGUACUUAAUAUAUAAAUAUGUCAUUCUUUUUGGGAUUGACUAAAAUAUAAGUAAGUCAAAUAAAUUGGGAUAGAGGGAGUAAUUAUAUAAACAUCGAAUGAAUUAAAUGCACUUUGGAAAGUGCACAUGAUAAACAGUGAAAAGCCCAAUCGAAAAUGGUAAGAAACUGACCCAAUCUAAUUUCCUCCGUCACAAAAUAUUGUAUAUCAUUUAGAGCAACUUUCACAUAUAGCAAAUAAAAAAAUCAUAUUUGUAUGCUAUAGCAAAAUUUGCAUAAUUGCGUUCCAUAACAAACAUAUAUAUGUAUAAUUCGCUAUACAUAUACAAUUGAAAGCUGUCUAUUUCGCUAUACAUAUAUACAAAAAGAAGCAAUUGUAUAAUUCGUUGGCUCCUCUUCAGAAUUGUAUAAUUUCGUUGGCAGGCCAUUUGUAUAAAUUGUUGUUUAAGCCUUCUCGUUUGUAUAAAUUCGUUGACAAAAAUAUUUGUAUAUCAAAAAUCGCUCUCUUUCGCUUUAUACAAACAUAAAUUAUACAUUAUACAAACAUAAAACUGGGCAGGGGAAUGUUUUUAUUGUAUAAUUAUAAGUGUAUAGGAUGAAUAUACAUGUAUUUGCAUGUGUAUAUAUAAUUUUCUCGCGCUUUAUACAAAUAGAAACACAAUUUAUACAAUUCUGUUGUAUAAAACGAGAAAGAGAGAAAGGCAAAAGAGAACUGGGCAGAGAAAUAUUUUUAUUAUAUAAUUAUAAGUGUAUAAGACGAAUAUAUAUGUAUUUGCAUGUAUAUAUACAAUUUUCUCUCACUUUAUAUAAACAGAAACGCAAUUUAUACACUUCUGUUGUAUAAAGCGAGAGAGGCGAGCACAGAGGGAGUGAGCGAGAGAGGAGAGUGGCGAGCGAGAGUUUGAGGGAGAGAGGCGCUGACAAACAGUUUGCUACAUGACACAAUUAAAUCAAAAUGUGAUUAUACCAUUUAAUUUGAAUUAAUAGUUAGCCAUUAUGUACAAUUUUCCCUAUCAUUUAUAUGCCUUAAUCAACAAAUAUCAUAUAUUUAGUAAAAUAUCAAAUGAUUCACUCUUAAUUUUAAAUAGAGAUAUGACACAAGCAUUCUUAGACUAUGAUCGAAAUUUCGGAGAGACACAUAAACUUAACUAAGGUUCUAUCACCCCGAACUCAUUUUUUGAUAUUUUUGUGCACCUUUUAUGCUGACGUGACACCUUCAACCACCCAAGUUGACUGUGUUUGUACACAUGUGUCUGCCAUGUUUGUAAAUGUUUUCUAAAAUUUUUAAAUUUGUUUUUUUUUAAAAUAUUUUUAUUUUUUUUAUCAUAUAUUUAAAUUAAGUUAAUAUAUAUUUUCUUACCUUGUAUCUAAACUUUUUUUUUAAAACUUCAUUCAUUGUUUUUUUUCUUUUAUUUACUCUUUUUAUUUUCUUUGUCUUUCCUUUUGAUUUGAUUUCAAACAUCUUGUAUUUAAGAUAAGUUAAUUUCGAAGGGAUAGCAAAAUAAGUGAAGAAAUCAAAUUAAACAUUAAAAAAAUUAAAACGUUAAAAUUAAAGGAUGCUUUUUUUAAAAAAAAAAAUAAGUAUAAUUUUUAAAAAUAAUUAAAAGUGAAAAGAUAAGAAAUUAAUGAAAGAAAAAAUAUAAAAAGUUUAAAGUGAGAAACAAAAUAAAAUAAAUAUUUUACAAAGAAAGAAAUGUAAAUAAUUAAAUAUAUAUAAGUUUUAAUAUCAAUAAAUAAGUGUACUAACUAAUUAUAAAGUUACCACUUAAAAAAUUACAUGUGUUUAAUUUUGUUCACUCAUCACUUGCCUUAUAAUGUAUUUAUUUCAUUUUAAAUUAGUUUAGAAGGUAAUAGAACCCUUGUUAAGUUUAUACGUAUCUUUGAGAUUUCAGUCAUAAGAAAAAAGAAGAAGUCAUAUUCUAAGGAUACUUGUAAUUUUUAAAUACCUCGAUUUCUUUUAAAUCCAUCAGGUGAUACCAUUUCUAAUCUGACCAAAAAAAGAUACCAUUUCUAAUAUUCUGGACACCAUAUAGUGCACGAAACUUGUAUUUUCUUCUUGGUGUUUGAGCCUGGAGAAUCAUGGUUAAUAAAUAUUAAAUGAACGAAAAUCAAAUGCACAUUGGAAAGUAUACAUGAUAAAGAAAUGAAAUUAAAAAGGCCAAUCGAGGAGCAAAAGUUACACGAAUGUAGUAGAACUGUGGGAUUAUAUGCACAUCUUGAAUUGAAAUUUGUAAAAAGCCAGCUGGUUGGUCCACAGAUAAUAUAGCCACGCUAUAUAAUCCCCUGCUAGACAAAUAUUUUAAGGGGUGACUAAACCCAACUAGUAGAAAUAAUACAAUGUAGGUACACUUGAAUAAACAAAGGGAAACAAUACACAAGUUGAAGUAGUUCGAAUGAUCAACGAGAGUUGUAGUGUAGUGAUAAAUACUUCUUCAUUCUUAAUUAGAAGUUUUAGAUUCGAGUCUCCGGGGUAUAGAGUCGCCUUUGUUAGAGAGCCUAUUCGAUUUGAGAUUUUCCAAUGCGAAUUUAGAUUUAGUCGGACUCCAGUUCCAAUGAAAAUGAUAGUGUGAGGGUUGGAAAGACUCACCAUAUAUGUAUGGGCUGUCACUUAGCUUUGAUGCCAUCAUUUUUAAUCCUGUUUCCAGCUCAAUAUAUGCUCAAAUCUUUUUUUCCUGCUUUCGGUUUUACUUUGAACCUUCCUCUUUAUUUCCUUAAGCAUAACCCCACACGCUCUAGCUACUUCUUUGUUGCUGAAGUGGGGUGGUAUAAACCCUUAUAAAACCUCACUCCAACUCUAAUUCAUCCAACAAAUUAAAGUUUGAAAUCUUUAGAACUAAACAUGGCUUUUUCUUCUUCUAAGUUAAUACUACUUUUGAUGUGUUUUAUGAUCAGUGCUUUUGGCAUUGCAAUUGCAGCCAAGUUCGAUCAAGAAUUCGACGUCACAUGGGGUGAUGGCAGAGCAAAAAUACUCAACAAUGGCGACCUCCUUACUCUCUCACUUGACAAAAUCUCUGGCUCUGGUUUUCAAUCCAAGAAUGAAUAUCUCUUUGGUAAAAUUGACAUGCAGCUCAAACUUGUCGCUGGAAAUUCUGCGGGCACCGUCACUGCCUACUAUGUAAUUCCCUUAUUUUCUUUUUUCUUAAAUGAUUUUUGAGUUUAUUGAGUUGAAAUGGAAUUGAACUUCUUUUUUGAAAAUUUAUUGCAGUUGUCAUCACAAGGACCAACACAUGAUGAGAUAGAUUUUGAAUUCUUGGGAAAUCUAAGUGGUGAUCCUUAUACUCUCCACACUAAUGUAUUUAGCCAAGGCAAAGGAAACAGAGAGCAGCAAUUCCAUCUUUGGUUUGACCCUACUGCUGAUUUCCACACAUAUUCAAUCACUUGGAAUCCACUACGCAUCAUGUAAGUAAUUAAAGAUUCGAUCUUUCUUCAAAAAUAUGUGACUUUUUAAAUCAAAUCUUGAUUUGGGGUUAUCUUAUUUUUGGUUUAACAGAUUUUAUGUGGACGGAACGCCCAUUAGAGAAUACAAGAAUAGCGAAUCAAUGGGAGUUUCAUAUCCGAAGAACCAAGCAAUGAGGAUUUACUCGAGUCUUUGGAAUGCAGAUGAUUGGGCUACAAGAGGAGGACUUGUCAAGACUGAUUGGAGCCAAGCACCCUUUAGUGCUUCUUACAGAACUUCAAAUCUAACACAUUCUUUUGGGAUAAACCUUGAUUUGGGGUUCUCUUAUUUUUUGAUUGAACAGAUUCUAUGUGGACGGAAUGCCCAUUAGAGAAUACAAGAAUAGUGAAUCAAUGGGAGUUUCAUAUCCGAAGAACCAACCAAUGAGGAUAUAUUCAAGUCUUUGGAAUGCAGAUGAUUGGGCUACAAGAGGAGGACUUGUCAAGACUGAUUGGAGCCAAGCACCCUUUAGUGCUUCUUACAGAAACUUCAGUUCUAAUGCUUGUAUUCCCAGUUCUUCAUCUUCUUGCAGUUCCAAUACUACAACUUCAACAAGCAAUUCAUGGUUGAAUGAAGAGUUAGAUAACACAAGCCAAGAGAGGCUCAAAUGGGUGCAGAAGAAUUACAUGGUUUAUAAUUACUGCACUGAUUCUAAACGAUUUUCACAAGGAUUUCCAGCAGAUUGUCUUCAGAAUAGCUGAGCAUUUACAGUGAAAUUUUUUGUAUUCUUUUACUUUUGAUCUAUAAAACUAUUAUAUUGAUUCUUUUAUUGUUCUGCACCAACCAGUAGCAGAGGAUUACAAACAUCUUAAUUUUUAGUUUUGUUACUGAGGGAUCGUUUGGUGAAAUUACACUGUGUGUUUGCCCCAAGUUUUCUUAGGAAUAUUUGACUAUUUCAAAAAAUAUAAUUUAUUUCCAUAGUUCUAAAAACUAUUAAAAAUAUCCAUAAAUUUAUAUUAUCUAUUUAUAGUGAAUAUGCUCAAUUAAAAAAUAACCUUAUAACAUAAUUGAUAACAAUCAACAACAACAAAAUAACAAUAUAUGCAAGAGCAAUACAUUAAUCACAUAUUCAAACUUGUCAUUGAUUCGGUUAUAAUUAUAAUCCAUUAGAAACAAUUUGUUCUUUUUUCUCAAUUUUGUCACUGAAAUUAGAAUUCGGAUUCUUCCGGAGGAGGUGGUAACAAACUGUUCCUUAAUAUAAUUUUCCCACAUUCUACGGACAAUCUCUUCCCUACAAGCAUUCAUUGUUAGAUUAGAAGACAGAGAAGACAAAACAAUAUUGUUACUCUGAGUCGAUUGUUCGUCAUCUUCAUCAGUAACCAUAUCAUCACGUUUAUGUUCAUUGAAUAUUUCAUCACUGUUUUGAUUUUCACGCAAAAGAAUUAUGUAAUAUGGCACAAUCAACUACUACUUUCACUUGCAUGCCUAAAUCAUAGUUGUUCAUGUCUUGUUGUAGUAUUCUGAAUCUACUUUUCCACGCACCAAAUGUUCUUUCAAUUACAUUACGCAAAGAGACAUGUCUAUAGUUAAAUAACUCAUUGUCAUGCUUAGGCUCUCUUUCACUUUUCUUGUAGUCCUGCAAAUAAUAUCACAUUCCUUUGUUACUUAAUAGAUAGAGAUGUUUAAUAUGAUUGGUGAGCAUGUUGUUUAAUAGAUAGAGGAGUAAUCUUGUUAUUUAUUGGUAGUAAUAGAUAGAUAUGGUAGAUACAAAAUAAUGGAUUUUUUUUAUAAAAUAUAGAAGUUUGGGGGUGAUUUUUGAAUUUUUUAAAAUUCUCAAGUACUAUAACUUGACCCAAAAACUAGUUUUUUUUAGUAUUUGGAAACUUGAAAUUCUUGACAAAUAUAUUUGCCAAGUUAUGUAGCAAAACACCGCUGGCCAAGUGUUUUCCAAAUUUUUUCCAAGUUUUCCCAAGUUUUAUUUGGGGCCAAACAGGUCCUAUAUCUCUUGUUAUAUUUUCGGUCUAAAUAUACCACCUUCUAUUAUACUUUUGGUCCAAAUAUUUCAUUAUACUUUGACUCAAAUUUAUUCUCGAUCUUAACAAAACAAAUAUGUUUCAAGCUGAGAAUCAAAUAACUUGCUCUGAAUUUUAAAUAAUUUGAUUUCUUUUUAAAUCCAUUAGGUGAUACCAUUUCUAGUAUUCUGGAUACCAUAAAGUGCAGGGGAACUUUUGCCUAUUUUCUAAUAUUUUUGUUGUUUGAACAUGGAUGAUCAUGGUUAGUAAAAUAUUGAUCAAUGAUCAAAAUGCAAAUGCACAAUGGAAAGUGUACACGUUAAAUAAAUGAAAUUGAAAGGGCCAAUCGAGGAGCAAAAAAUUACCCGAAUGUAUUAGGAGUACAGCCGGAUUAGAUGCAUAUCUUGAAUUGAAAUUUGUAAAAUGUUAGCUGUUUGGUCCACAGAUAAUAUUGCCACGGGAUGUAACCUCUUGCUACUCAAAUACCUUAAGGCGGUACUGUAGGUACACUUGAAUAAACAAAGGGAACAAUACACAAGUUUAACUAGUUCCAAUAAUAACGAGAGUUAUGGUGGAAUGGUAAAUAUUUCUUCAUUAAAUUUCAAAUUAGAGUCUCACCUUUGUUAUAGAUCCUUUAUCCUCCAAUGUGGGUUUUUUCAAUGCAAAUUCAAAUUUAGUGAGGCUUUGAUAUAAAUACCGAACACCAAAUUAUAAAAAAAAACAAAAAAAACUAGUUCCAAUGAGAAUGAUAGUGCGAGUCUUGGAAAGACUGACCAUAUAUGGGCUGUCACUUAGCUUUGAUGCCAUCAUUUUUUAUCCUGUUUCCAGCUCAAUCUUUUUUUUCUUGCUUUCUGUAUUACUUUGAACCUUCCUCUUUAUUUCCUCAAGCCUAUCCCCACACGCUCUACCUACUUAUUUGUUGGUGAGGUGGGGGUGGUAUAAACCCUUAUAAAACCCCAUCUAGCUUUCCAACUCCAAUUCAUCCAACAAACUUUGAAAUCUUAAGAAUUAAACAUGGCUUCUUCUUCUAAGUUAGUACUUGUAAUGUGUUUUAUGGUUAGUGCUUUUGGCAUUGCAAUUGGAAACACGUUAGAUCAAGAAUUUGAGAUAACAUGGGGUGAUGGCAGAGCAAAGAUACUCAACAAUGGCGACCUCCUUACUCUCUCACUUGACAAAAUCUCUGGCUCUGGUUUUCAAUCGAAGAAUGAAUAUCUCUUUGGUAAAAUUGACAUGCAGCUCAAACUAGUCACUGGAAAUUCUGCUGGCACUGUCACUGCUUAUUAUGUAAUUCCCUUAAUUUCUUUUCUUAUAUGAUUUUUGAGCUACGUGUUUAUUGAAUUGAAAUGAAAUUGAACCUUUUUAUUUUUUGAAAUUUAUUGCAGUUGUCAUCACAAGGACCAACACAUGAUGAGAUAGAUUUUGAAUUCUUGGGAAAUUUAAGUGGUGAUCCUUAUACUCUCCACACUAACGUAUUUAGCCAAGGCAAAGG